ACCGCGGCUCCAUCUAGCCCCACCUCCCCGGACACUUAGGCAGAAUUGCCCCGGUCCUGACCUGGCCACCACACUCGGGUUCUGACCCUCGAGCGGAAGUGCAGCUAGGUCUGGUCCCCGAGUGGCCCACCUGCUUCAGGCCCCGCCCCUGACCCCUCCUCCCGACCAAGAGGCUGGAGCGCAAGCAUGAUUCGCUAGAUGUUUUCCGGUUCCCCAAUAUUCCGUCGCCUGCUGGCAUCUUCCUUCGUAGACACCGUCCGUUGGAGUUUCCACCUUGGGCCUACUGUGUCCCCAGAGGACGCGCUAGCUUUUGCAGCACGUCCCCCUGGUAACUGGGUUGCCUCUGCCUUCACCCUCCCGCAACAGUGCGACGCCAUCGGCCUUAGGGUGGGUUUUCCUGAAGUCUAUUAUCUGGUCUCCCGGUUGCGAAAGCUGUCUGCGCGUGCGCACUCGAGAAAGCAAGUCCCAGCCAGCCAGGGCCUUUCUCUGACCCUGCCUUACUGCGCCUGCGUUGGGCCAAAUCGGAAGUACGUCCAGCUCUAGCCCUUUGGUCCGUCGCUUGGUUUUUGUCAGGAACUACUGGGCGCUGCGGGGGGUAUCGGUGGCUUCGGAUUUAAGAUUUCCUCGGGACUCCAGGACCAGCUGUGUACCUGUGUCUGGCAAGUACUGGAAUUCCAUGGGCUCGCUGAGCUCCCGAUCGGAAGGCCGCCGCAGCUGCAUGGAGACGCGCACAGGGGCCUGCAGGCUGGGGUCUGCGUAGGGGGGCGUCCGGAAAACAAUGGCCACUUGUCGGUGCACAUCAGCUUGUGAAAAGGAGCCUCGGGCCUCCCAGCCUGGUCCCGUGAAGUACACCUCGAUGUCCUCUGCAGGAGAUGGGGCGGCAGUGUGGGUCACUGUGCCCAACUCACCCAGCCUGCCGCCCCCACGGCUGCUGACACUUAUCCCUGAAGAUACAGCACCAUACUGCCCCCGAGGUGUUGGGGGGGGUGCGUUUAAACCAGUUGCCUGACACUCAGCAUGUCUGCUCAGCCUUGUCCCUCACCUCCUGCUCCAAAGAGUACAGCCCUGCUUCCUGGUGUGUACCUUUCUGCACCUUGUCACACAGCAGGAAGAUCUCAUCCCCCCCAAGGCAGCUCCCAGAGUUUCGAUUCACUCGGCAGAUCUUGAGCUCGGCGGUGUUGGGGGCACCUGAGGGUGUGGGAAUAAGGAAGGUAGUCCUGAACCACCAGAGGUCUCCCAUGCUGACCUGCACGAAAUGCAAGGCUCCUACCCAGCCCAGAGUCAAGGUUGUCCAGAGCUUGCUGACUGCACCUCUGCAGCCAAGAGUCAACCCUUCCCAUUUCCCACUGGCUCUUCACCCGAACCAAUUCAGCAGCUAUUUAUCUACCAGUACCUACCAUGUGCGCAGCACUGUUUUAGGCAUGAAGAAUAUAACAACACAUGAAACCUAAAUAUCUCUGCCUUCACAGAGCUUACAGUCCAAUAGGAACCAAUACAAUCACAAUUCCUUCUUCUCCAUCCGACCCAAGCAGUCUUCAAGGCCCAUCCAUACCCACCUUGGCAAUGAACCGUUCCCUCCUAACCCUCAGUUCAUCCUGGCUUCCUAGCCUCGGGACACCAAAGCCCUUUUAUUUUCACUCAUCCUGCUCACUACUUAAAGACUGCAGUUGAUCAAUGUCA